CCUACGGGGGGCAGCAGUGGGGAAUAUUGCACAAUGGGGGAAACCCUGAUGCAGCGACGCCGCGUGAGUGAAGAAGUAUUUCGGUAUGUAAAGCUCUAUCAGCAGGAAAGAAAAUGACGGUACCUGACUAAGAAGCCCCGGCUAACUACGUGCCAGCAGCCGCGGUAAUACGUAGGGGGCAAGCGUUAUCCGGAUUUACUGGGUGUAAAGGGAGCGUAGACGGCCAGGCAAGCCUGGAGUGAAAGCCCGGGGCCCAACCCCGGGACUGCUCUGGGAACUGUCCGGCUGGAGUGCGGGAGGGGCAGGCGGAAUUCCUGGUGUAGCGGUGAAAUGCGUAGAUAUCAGGAGGAACACCGGCGGCGAAGGCGGCCUGCUGGACCGCGACUGACGUUGAGGCUCGAAAGCGUGGGGAGCAAACAGGAUUAGAUACCCUGGUA
rnacentral:rRNA from 1 species